rnacentral:rRNA from 1 species
AGAUUGAACGCUGGCGGCAGGCCUAACACAUGCAAGUCGAGCGGUAGAGAGGUGCUUGCAUCUCUUGAGAGCGGCGGACGGGUGAGUAAUGCCUAGGAAUCUGCCUAGUGGUGGGGGAUAACGGUUCGGAAACGGACGCUAAUACCGCAUACGUCCUACGGGAGAAAGCGGGGGACCUUCGGGCCUCGCGCCAUUAGAUGAGCCUAGGUCGGAUUAGCUAGUUGGUGAGGUAAUGGCUCACCAAGGCGACGAUCCGUAACUGGUCUGAGAGGAUGAUCAGUCACACUGGAACUGAGACACGGUCCAGACUCCUACGGGAGGCAGCGAGUGGGGAAUAGUUGGACAAUGGGCGAAAGCCUGAUCCAGCCAUGCCGCGUGUGUGAAGAAGGUCUUCGGAUUAGUAAAGCACGUUUAAGUUGGGAAGGGUAAGGGUUAGUUAAACCGUUAAUACGUUGUACGUAACUUUUAGUACGUUAACCGGAC